AUGGCCUCCCGCCUCCUCCGCCUGCACCACCACCUCCGGCGCCGGCGCCACCACGGCACGAGCCCCGUCCCCUGCAGGCUCCUCUCCUCCUCCGACGAACCGCCGCCGCCGCCGCCGCGGACGGUGGAGAAGGUGCUGGUGGCGAACCGGGGGGAGAUCGCGUGCCGGGUGAUGCGGACGGCGCGGCGGCUCGGGAUCGCCACCGUGGCCGUGUACAGCGACGCCGACCGCGCCGCGCUGCACGUGCGCGCCGCCGACGAGGCCGUCAGGCUCGGCCCGCCCCCCGCGCGGGAGAGCUACCUCAACGCCGCCGCCAUCGUCGACGCCGCCCUCCGCACCGGCGCCAAGGCUAUCCACCCUGGAUAUGGGUUUCUUUCAGAGAGCGCAGAUUUCGCACAGCUCUGCGAAGCAGAGGGGCUAACGUUUAUUGGGCCUCCGCCAUCUGCAAUCCGAGAUAUGGGUGAUAAGAGCGCGUCAAAGAGGAUCAUGGGUGCUGCUGGUGUACCGCUUGUUCCAGGCUACCAUGGGGCUGACCAAGACAUUGAGUUGUUAAAACUUGAAGCUGAUAAGAUUGGAUAUCCAGUUUUGAUUAAACCCACACAUGGUGGAGGGGGCAAGGGGAUGAGAAUAGUUCAAGGGCCUGAUGACUUUGUGGAUUCUGUACGGAGUGCUCAACGUGAAGCUGCAGCAUCAUUUGGUAUAGACACACUGUUGAUUGAGAAGUAUAUUACUCAACCCAGACAUAUUGAAGUCCAGGUAUUUGGUGACAAACAUGGAAACGCUAUUCACCUUUACGAGAGGGACUGCAGUCUACAAAGAAGGCAUCAGAAGAUCAUCGAGGAAGCACCAGCUCCAAAUGUGACAACUGAGUUUCGGACUCAUAUUGGUGAAGCUGCUGUGUCGGCUGCGAAGGCAGUUGGUUACUACAGUGCUGGAACAGUGGAGUUUAUUGUGGAUACUCUUUCAGGAGAAUUCUAUUUCAUGGAGAUGAAUACUCGACUCCAGGUUGAACACCCAGUAACAGAGAUGAUAGUCGGUCAAGAUCUUGUGGAGUGGCAAAUACGUGUUGCAAAUGGAGAGCGCCUGCCAUUAUCUCAGGAGCAGGUCCCACUAAACGGACAUGCAUUUGAAGCCCGAAUAUACGCCGAAAAUGUUCCAAGAGGAUUUCUUCCUGCAACAGGAACCUUACAUCACUAUCGACCAGUCCUGUCUUCCCCAACAGUAAGAGUUGAAACUGGAGUCGAAGAAGGAGAUGCUGUCAGCAUGCAUUAUGAUCCCAUGAUAGCCAAACUUGUUGUUUGGGGUGAAAGUCGCAAUGCUGCACUAGUCAAGCUAAAGAACUGUUUGUCGAACUUUCAGAUUGCAGGUUUGCCUACAAAUGUUGCUUUCCUUCAAGAACUCGCAGGCCAUAAUGCCUUCGAAAGAGGCCUAGUUGAUACACAUUUCAUUGAGCGGUACAAAGAUGAUUUUCAAAGUACUUCUGCUAAGGCCUCGGGUGAAGCACAUGAUGCAGCUAAGCUUGGUGCAAUUUUGGCUGCUGCCUGCAUUUGUAAAAAGGAUCAUAUUAGCUCCGAAGAAUCCCUUCGUGACAAGACGCUUUCAGUAUGGUAUACCCGUCCACCUUUCAGGAUGCAUCACUCCGCGAAGCGUUUGAUGGAAUUUGAGUUAGAUGAAGAACUUGAGGGGUUGAGCGAUGAGCUCCUUAAAUUAUUGGUUACAUAUAGAUCUGAUGGAGGCUACUUCAUUGAGACUGAAGCUGGCUCUUCUCAUGGUUUUGAUGUGAAAGUAGAUGGUGGGAGCGAACAUGAUUUCCGGGUUGAAGUUGGUGGUGUGCAAACAGACGUGACAUUAGCAUUUUAUUCAAAGGAUAAUAGCAAACAUAUACACAUCUGGCAUGGGAAGCAUCACCAUCAUUACAGGCAGACCAUGAGAAUUGAGCAUUUACUUGAUGAUAGUUCUCAACCCAGCCAGGCUUCUGAGGGAAGGUCACAUCCAAAAGGAAGUGUUUUGGCACCAAUGGCUGGUUUGGUCGUUAAGGUUUUGCUUAAGGAUGGGGUACACGUGGAAGAUGGUCAGCCUGUCAUGGUUAUAGAAGCAAUGAAGAUGGAGCACGUUGUGAAGGCGCCUCGGGCAGGUUAUAUAGAAGGGCUGAAGGCUACCGCUGGACAACAAGUUUUUGACUCCAGUGUCCUUUUCACUGUCAAGGAUAAGAGCACGAACUGA
rnacentral:rRNA from 1 species